rnacentral:tRNA from 1 species
GGCCCGUUCGUCUAUCGGUCAGGACACCAGGUUCUCAACUUGGGAAGAGGGGUUCAACUCCCCUACGCGCUGCCA